rnacentral:rRNA from 1 species
UAUUAGCAUAUAUUAAAGUUGCUGCAAUUAAAACGCUCGUAGUCGAACCUUUAAUGCUUUAUUGAGGUCUAAAGUUUUUAGUACUUUGAUAGUGUUAUAAUAUAUUACCUUGAAUAAUUUAGAGUGUUCAAAGCAGGCUUAGCGCUUGAAUACAUUAGCAUGGAAUAAUAAAAGAGGACUUUUUUUAUUGGUUAGUAGAAUUAGUAAUGAUAAAUAGGGACAGUUGGGGGCAUUUGUAUUUAAAAAGGAGAGGUGAAAUUCAUAGAUUUUUUAAAGACAAACUAAAGCGAAAGCAUUUGCCAAGGAUGUUUUCAUUGA